CUGAGUGGAGGAGUUCCCGCGUCGCAAGCAUCCUUGAGAGCAGCCGGCUCAGCUCGGGGCUGUAAGGUUGGUUCCUGGCAAUGGAUGGAAAUCAGGUCACAGAGAUCCCUAAGCUCGCCGGGCUCCCAGACGCACUUGGGGGACAGAAUGGAAUUGGAAGGAGGGAUCUGAAGAGGAGGAAGGGUACCCGUGUUCCCCCAUCCCGGGCCUAGAAUGGAGCCCCGGCCAGCCGAGGGUCGGGCCCCUCGGUUUUCAGGACUUAUUCUUGCCGAGGUUGGCUCGCACGCCAGCAUCGCGCCUUCGGGGCGCAUUCUGGGGUCUCUGCGCAAGACCAGCUCUCAGCUCUCUCUCCUUUCCUCGGACUCUGGAGCGGGAGCGGGCCUUUCCCUCGGGCCGACCACGCCGUAAGGGACGCCAUGAAAAGAGCCGUCGCGCCCGCUGCCUCCUGCCCGCUGCGCAGAGGGCUCCGCCCGUAGAGGUCAACUUCCCUCACCCUUUCCUCUCUCCUGCUCGCCCUCCCUCCGCUCGGCCCAGGCGCUUCCAGCCGCAGACUCUGGCCACAGGCUGA
rnacentral:lncRNA from 1 species